ensembl:lncRNA
GCAGGGGAGGGGUUCCCAAACACUCAGAGGGGAGCACUCCAGAGGGGGGGCGGGGCCCUACUGUGACCUAAACCAGCGCCCAAGAAUCUGGCAUGGCCAGCCGUCAGACCCCAGCUCAGGAGUGCAGGAACCUAGUGCUGUUUCAAGACACAGAAAGCUUUCUACAGAUGCUGAAAGAACGAUGGAAGGGAUGAAUGAAUGCAUGAGGGAAAUUGAAAACAUCCGUCUUGAGGAAGGGUCCAUAAGUUUCACGAGCUUUUCAUGGAGAUGUCACAGGCACCUUGAAGGCUGAGUUCUGAAAUAUGUUUAAUUUAUUCUAAAACAUCUGACCACAAGGUAAACAUGUGGCCAAGAAACAGCAGAAACUAACAUGGCAUUAUAAAACCACUGUACCCUGAUGAAAAAAGGAAAGCUACAUGGGGAUGAUGUCAUCAUUUCAUCUUGCUGGAGAACACAAAGAAUUUGUCUGUGUCCACGGUUGCAGAGAACGGCUUUUUAAUAGACAAUGCCGUCUGACCUCUGUCCACUCAAAUGAUGUACAUCAGACAAGCUAGCCAUCUAUAAAAUUACUCUUGCC